rnacentral:lncRNA from 1 species
AGGUUGACACAGCUGACUCUACCCUUGACACAGAUGAAGGAAUCCUUUGGAGCUGAGUUGUUUUCAAGUGUGUAUCACUCAAGCUGGAACAUCUUGUGAAGGCAGAUGGGUCCAGGCCUCUUACUCCAUUGGGGUCUACAUCGUGUCUGUUCAGUGUCUAUCAGAGAAGAGAAAAGAAGAGAAGAGAAGAGAAAAGAAGAGAAGAGGAGAGGAGAGGAGAGGAGAGGAGAGGAGAGGAGAGGAGAGAAGAGAAGAG